rnacentral:lncRNA from 1 species
GGUUGUAGAUGGACACAGUACCUUUAUUUUUAUUUAUUUAUUUUUAUGUGGUGCGGAGGACCAAACUCAGUACUCAGUGCCUCACACAUGCUAGACAAGCACUUUACCUCUAAGCCACAACCCUAGCCCAGUUGCACAAAUCUAGAGAGUAUAUCUCAAUUAAUUUUUUACAAAUGUGAGUCCAUGUAACCACAACCCAGGUCAAGAUGUAGAAUUUUUCCACAAUCCCAGAAAUUUCCCAUUGUGCCCCUUCUCAUUAAAUACCUCCCCCAAAAGGUGUGUGCACAUGUAUGUGUGAUAUGAGGGAUCAAACCCUGAGCCUCACAUAUACUGGGAAGCACUCGACCACUGAGCUACAUCCCCAGCCCUUUUCAUACUUGAUUUUGAGACAGGUCUCCCUAAAUUGUCCAUGCUGGCUUUGAAGUUGAAAUCUCCUGUCUUAGCCUCCUGACUAGCUGGGAUUACAGAUGGGAGCCACCAUACCCAAUUAGCCUGUUCUUGAAAUUAUAAGGAACAAAAUCAUAUAAAAUGCACUCCUGUGUCUGGAUUCUCC